GACGAACGCUGGCGGCGUGCCUAACACAUGCAAGUCGAGCGGAGUCAGUAAGAGGAAGUUUUCGGAUGGAAUCUUAUUGAUUUAGCGGCGGACGGGUGAGUAACGCGUGAGCGACCAACCUUGCACAGGGGGAUAACGGACCGAAAGGUUCACUAAUACCGCAUGAGACCACGGUGUUGCAUGACACAGGGGUCAAAGGAGCAAUCCGGGUCAAGACGGGCUCGCGUCCGAUUAGGUAGUUGGAGGGGUAACGGCCCACCAAGCCUAUGAUCGGUAGCCGACCUGAGAGGGUGAUCGGCCACAUUGAAAAUGAAGUACGGUCCAAACGCCUACGGGAGGCAGCAGUGGGGAAUAUUGGGCAAUGGGGGAAACCCUGACCCAGCAACGCCGCGUGAAGGAAGAAGGUUUUCGGAUUGUAAACUUCUGUCCUUGGUGAAGAGAAGAAGACGGUAGCCAAGGAGGAAGCCCCGGUUAACUACGUGCCAGCCGCCGCCGUAA
rnacentral:rRNA from 1 species